UGUGGCAAGCUCUAUUUAAAGGUUUGAGUUCAGGCUUUCAACACCAAUCCCUCUGUUCCUCCUUCUCGACUUUGAACACAAAACUUCAAACUUUUGCCAUCAUGUCACAACUCAUGAGUGCAGUGUGCACGAUGAAAAAGGUUUUUGACCAAUACGCGGGAAAAGAUGGAGACCCUACUACUUUGUCCAAAAAAGAACUCGGUGAUUUGCUCCGCGCUGAGCUUGGUUUUGAAGAGAGUUCUGGAGGUAGUGAAG